AUGGCUUUAGUUUUUGCAGUUCAAUUUAUUCAGAUAGAUGGUGAAUGCACGAAAGUUGUGGGUAAAUGCGAGGUAGCUGAGCCUGAUUGUAAUACUCAGUGUAAUUCAUAUGCAAGAGGCCGUGCUAAUGUUUUAAAAGCAUCAUGUUCAUCCUUAAACUUGUGCAUUUGUACUUUCGAUCGACCACCACCAACAGGAGAACCAAACCCUACUUGUAACUAA